AUGUGACCAAAUACAGCUAUUGUUAUUUCCAGUGUAAGUGUAGCUUAUUUAUAUAAUAAAUUUAAUGUUUAAAUUGCACUUGUAUACAGUAUUAUACGUGUGCAGAAACACCAAACUGUCAUGUCGUGGGCAAGGACAGAGGCAAAGUCCGGCAUCAGGGGAAAGCAAAGGGGGCUUUAUUGAAAGAAACCACAAGGUGCUGACUAAGGUGGGCCGUUCAACCUUUCCGCCUCUUUGGUAAUUAAAUUCUCCACUAUAUAUUUUCAUAAUUUCUUGUCUGUUAGUCUUGCAGGAAUGUUGAACAGAUCCGUUAGGCACUGUGAUGGGAGAGUGAAAGAAAAGUGUUUAUUUAGCUUCUAGGGCUUAACAACUAGGGGAGCUGACUGAAUAGAAAAGGUAACAGAUUUGACCUCAGUAAAGUGGAAAUAUGCAGGACAACAAGGCAGGUAUUAGGUUUACAGAACUAAAAGUUUAUACAGAAUGUACUACAAAAUAAUCUCCUCUCCUGGCUUCGUUCAAACCCUUCUCCAUCUUUACAGUCGUUUCAGGAGUUGCAUUGGAUUUGGCUGCCUACAGUGAUGCUUUAAAUAGUGGAAUUUUCUAUAUGGGGUCUUUAUAGAACCUGUGUAUAAACACAUUGACUUGUAUUAAUUUUAAUGCUUUAGUUCUCAAAUUGAGGAAUCUUUGUAGAGUGUAGAACCUAUUUAUAGGUUCGUUGCUGGAAUAAUAUUCUCUCUGCUAUCGAUGAACUGGAUCCAGUUAUAGAUUAAGGGGUAAAUAGUAGAAGGCCAUGUUGGAAUCCAGACCAACUUCAUCAGUGCACUUUUCAUUCCCCAUUGACUAUGAAGGAGUCCCCUGUUGAACCUGGAGUGGUAUAAUCACCCUGUAAUCACUCAUUCUUCCUGUGCAGAUGAGCUCCAGUUACGAGAUGCUGGGGAUCAGUCUGUAUCUGGCCAACAUCCAAGCCACUAGCUUAUCUGCAGGAGGAAAGUUGGAAAUUUCAAACAGAACACGCCUGGAAGUUGGAGGAACCUCUGUAAUCCCGACCUCAGAAUUCAAGAUGGCUGCCCCCUUCAUCAACAGAAGUGAAAGCUCUAGUUAUAUACGGUAUAUCAGGGCUUUUGUCUUAUUUGGGUCUCUUUAAAUCGGUCGUACACAAAGUGCUGCCCAACCACUGUGGUUGCUAUAAACUUAUGUUGCUAACAAUGAACCUGGCUAGAGAAUCGGCUGCAUGGCUUCUGACUUGUCCUGGAAGAUGGCUAAGUCAACGUGAAGUAAUUUCUAUCUCCGACUUUCGACCUUCAAGGUAAAUGGUUAAUCUCCCCAGGCUUCU